GGGAUGUAGCUGUGCCGGUGCGCAAGCGCAGUCCGCUCGGGCCUGGCGCUCUGGCCCACCCGCGGAGGUCGUGGUGGUCACCUGUGAGGCCUGCUCGUCCGCUCCACUGUGGGACCUGGGGUUACUGGGGUCCGCCUCGGCCGGGUAGGGUCGGAGACUGAGGAGAACCUGACCCGAACCCACCGAGCUCGCGGGGAACCUCCGAGGCCUUCGAAGGCGGUGCCGGGAGUCGAGGACACUGAUGUGGUCUGGACCCACUGAUGCAUGGUGGCCAGAGCAGGGGCCACAACUUGAGUGACACACACAGGAUCUGAUGCUCUGAAGACCACAAGGUGGGUACCACGGCCCUGUGUGGAGGCCUCUCUGGGCCUGACAGCCGCCUGUGGAGACGGUUC
rnacentral:lncRNA from 1 species